UACGUAGGGGGGCAAGCGUUGUCCGGAUUUAUUGGGCGUAAAGAGCGUGUAGGCGGCCAUGCAGGUCCGUUGUGAAAAACUCGAGGCUCAACCUCGAGACGCCGGUGGAAACCGUGUGGCUAGAGUCCGGAAGAGGAGAGUGGAAUUCCUGGUGUAGCGGUGAAAUGCGCAGAUAUCAGGAAGAACACCGUGGCGAAGGCGGCUCUCUGGACGUGACUGACGCUGAGACGCGAAGCGUGGAGCAACAGG
rnacentral:rRNA from 1 species